UUGGAGGGCAAGUCUGGUGCCUGCAGCCGCGGUAAUUCCAGCUCCAAUAGCGUAUAUUAAAGUUGUUGCAGUUAAAAAGCUCGUAGUUGAAUUUCGGGGUCAGUAGAUUGGUCAUGCCACUGGUAUGUACUGGUCUCACUGAUUCCUCCUUCCUGAUGAGCCGUAAUGCCAUUAAUUUGGUGUUGCGAGGAACCUGGACUGUUACUUUGAAAAAAUUAGAGUGUUUAAAGCAGGCUAACGCUUGAAUACAUUAGCAUGGAAUAAUGAAAUAGGACGUUCGAUCUUAUUUUGUUGGUUUCUAAGAUUGACGUAAUGAUUAAUAGGGAUAGUUGGGGGCAUUAGUAUUCAAUUGUCAGAGGUGAAAUUCUUGGAUUUAUUGAAGACUAACUACUGCGAAAGCAUUUGCCAAGGAUGUUUUCAUUAAUCAAGAACGAAAGUUAGGGGAUCGAAGACGAUCAGAUACCGUCGUAGUCUUAACCAUAAACUAUGCCGACUAGGGAUCGGAUGAUGUUAAUUUUUUAAUGACUCAUUCGGCGCCUUACGGGAAAC
rnacentral:rRNA from 1 species